rnacentral:rRNA from 1 species
CUAAGUUUGAUGGCGACCGGCGCACGGGUGAGUAACACGUAUCCAACCUGCCGAUGACUCGGGGAUAGCCUUUCGAAAGAAAGAUUAAUACCCGAUGGCAUAGUUCUUCCGCAUGGUAGAACUAUUAAAGAAUUUCGGUCAUCGAUGGGGAUGCGUUCCAUUAGGUUGUUGGCGGGGUAACGGACCCACCAAGCCUUCGAUGGAUAGGGGUUCUGAGAGGAAGGUCCCCCACAUUGGAACUGAGACACGGUCCAAACUCCUACGGGAGGCAGCAUG